AUACUUACCUGGCAGCGGCGAUAUCACGAUCAUGAAGGUGGUUUUCCCAGGGUGAGGCUUAUCCAUUGCUCUCCGGAUGUGCUGAUCCCUGCGAUUUCCCCAAAGGUGGGAAACUCAACUGCAUGAUUUGUGAUGGUGGGGGACUGCAUUCGCACUGUCCCCUG